AUUGAACGCUGGCGGCAGGCCUAACACAUGCAAGUCGAGCGGAGCGGCGGACGGGUGAGUAAUGCCUAGGAAUCUGCCUGGUAGUGGGGGAUAACGUCCGGAAACGGGCGCUAAUAUCGCAUACUCUCAGAUGAGCCUAGGUCGGAUUAGCUAGUUGGUGGGGUAAAGGCCUACCAAGGCGAAGAUCCGUAACUGGUCUGAGAGGAUGAUCAGUCACACUGGAACGUGGAAAAGGUCCAGACUCCUUCGGGAGGGAGCAAUGGGGAAUCUUCCGCAAUGGACGAAAGGCUGACUGAGCAACGCCGCGGGAGUGAUGACGGCCUUCGGGUUGGAAAGCUCUGUUAAUCGGGACGCGGUACCGGAAGAGAAAGCCACGGCUAACUACGUGCCAGCAGCCGCGGUAAUAC
rnacentral:rRNA from 1 species